AGGUAAUAGAUACCCGGGUAGUCCACGCCCUAAACGAUGUCAACUAGGUGUUGGAGGAGCAAUCCUUUGGUACCGCAGCUAAACGCGUGAAGUUGACCGCCUGGGGAGCACGGUCGCAAGAUUAAAACUCAAAGGAAUUGACGGGGACCCGCACAAGCGGUGGAUGAUGUGGAUUAAAUUCGAUGCAACGCGAACAACCUUACCUACCCUUGACAUGUCCGGAAGGCUGCUGAAAGGCGGCUGUGCCCGAAAGGGAACUGGAACACAGGUGCUGCAUGGCUGUCGUCAGCUCGUGUCGUGAGAUGUUGGGUUAAGUCCCGCAACGAGCGCAACCCUUGUCCUUAGUUGCUACGCAAGGGCACUCUAAGGAGACUGCCGGUGACAAACCGGAGGAAGGUGGGGAUGACGUCAAGUCCUCAUGGCCCUUAUGGGUAGGGCUUCACACGUCAUACAAUGGUCGGUACAGAGGGUAGCCAACCCGCGAGGGGGAGCCAAUCCCAGAAAGCCGAUCGUAGUCCGGAUUGCAGUCUGCAACUCGACUGC
rnacentral:rRNA from 1 species